rnacentral:rRNA from 1 species
GAGAGUUUGAUCCUGGCUCAGGACGAACGCUGGCGGCGUGCUUAACACAUGCAAGUCGAACGGAAAGGCCCCUUCGGGGGUACUCGAGUGGCGAACGGGUGAGUAACACGUGGGUGAUCUGCCCUGCACUCUGGGAUAAGCCUGGGAAACUGGGUCUAAUACCGGAUAGGACCGCGCGCUUCAUGGUGUGUGGUGGAAAGCUUUUGCGGUGUGGGAUGGGCCCGCGGCCUAUCAGCUUGUUGGUGGGGUAAUGGCCUACCAAGGCGACGACGGGUAGCCGGCCUGAGAGGGUGUCCGGCCACACUGGGACUGAGAUACGGCCCAGACUCCUACGGGAGGCAGCAGUGGGGAAUAUUGCACAAUGGGCGCAAGCCUGAUGCAGCGACGCCGCGUGGGGGAUGACGGCCUUCGGGUUGUAAACCUCUUUCAGUAUCGGCGAAGCUCCGUGGUUUUCUGCGGGGUGACGGUAGGUACAGAAGAAGCACCGGCCAACUACGUGCCAGCAGCCGCGGUAAUACGUAGGGUGCGAGCGUUGUCCGGAAUUACUGGGCGUAAAGAGCUCGUAGGUGGUUUGUCGCGUUGUCCGUGAAAACUCACAGCUUAACUGUGGGCGUGCGGGCGAUACGGGCAGACUAGAGUACUGUAGGGGAGACUGGAAUUCCUGGUGUAGCGGUGGAAUGCGCAGAUAUCAGGAGGAACACCGGUGGCGAAGGCGGGUCUCUGGGCAGUAACUGACGCUGAGGAGCGAAAGCGUGGGGAGCGAACAGGAUUAGAUACCCUGGUAGUCCACGCCGUAAACGGUGGGUACUAGGUGUGGGUUUCCUUCCUUUAGGGAUCCGUGCCGUAGCUAACGCAUUAAGUACCCCGCCUGGGGAGUACGGCCGCAAGGCUAAAACUCAAAGGAAUUGACGGGGGCCCGCACAAGCGGCGGAGCAUGUGGAUUAAUUCGAUGCAACGCGAAGAACCUUACCUGGGUUUGACAUGCACAGGACGCCGGUAGAGAUAUCGGUUCCCUUGUGGCCUGUGUGCA